rnacentral:miRNA from 1 species
CGAUACAAACAGAAGAUUCUCCACC